rnacentral:rRNA from 1 species
AUUUAUUAAUAAAUUAAAAAUUUUUUAAAUUUAAUUAAAAUUUUAUUAAAAUUUUAUUUAUAAUAUUUAAUUUUAGUAAAAAAAUUUGAAUAAAUAAAUUAUAGAAAAAUAAUUUUAUAUUAGUAUUGUGAAAGAAAUAAAUUUUUAUAAAAUAAUUUUAAGUAAAUAUAAAUAAUUGUACCUUUUGUAUCAUGGUUAAUUUAAAUAAUUUUAUAAAAUUAAUUUUUUCGAAGUUUAAAGAAUUAUAAAAAUAAAAUUUAAUAUGUUUUAAAUUAAAUAUAAAUAUUUUUAUAGAAAUUAAAUGUUAUUCAUUUUAAAUUUUAUCUAAUUUUUAAAUAAAUAAAUUGAAUUUAUAUAUAAUUUUAAAUUAAGUUUAUUUAAUAAAAUUUUAAUUUUAUUUUAUAUUAAAAAUUAUAGGGAUAAGCUUAUAAUUUAAUUUUAAAAAUUUAAAUAAAAAUAUAUAAAAAUAGAAAUAAAAUUUUUAUUUUUUAAUAAAAUUUUAAUAAAUUAUAUAAAUAUUUUUUUAUAAUAAUUAUAAUUAUAAAAUUUUAAUUUUUUAUUUAAAUAUUAAAUUUAAUAAAAAUUUUUAAAUAAUUUUGAUUAAAUUAGUAGUUAAAAAAUUUUAGAAUUAUUAUAAAUUUUUAAAAUAAUUUUAAAGAAUUAGGCAAAAUUUUAUUUUCACCUGUUUAACAAAAACAUGUCUUUUUGAGUUAAUAAAAAGUCAAAUCUGUCCAAUGAAUUUUAUUUAAGAAAUAUUUUAAAUGACUGCAGUAAUUUAACUGUACUAAGGUAGCAUAAUCAUUUGUUUUUUAAUUUGAAACUUGAAUGAAAGAUUAAAUGAAAAAUAAACUGUUUUAAUUUUAAUUAAAUAAAUUUAUUUUUUUAUUUAAAAAAAUAAAAUUUUUUUAAAAGACGAUAAGACCCUAUAGAAUUUAAUUUAAUAUAAGUAAAAUUAAAAUUUAAUUUAAAAUUUAUAAACAUAUAUAUUAAAUUUAAUUGGGGUUAUUUAAAAAUUUAAUUAAUUUUUUAAUUUUUUAAACAAAAAUUUUUGUUAAUUUUGAUUAAUUAAUAAUUAUUAAAAGAAUAAAUUACCUUAGGGAUAACAGCGUUAAUUUUUAAAUUAAUUUUAUUAAUUUAGAAAGUUUGCGACCUCGAUGUUGAAUUAAGAUAAAUUAUUAAUAUAAAAAUUAAAAAAUUAAGUCUGUUCGACUUUUAAAAUCUUACAUGAUUUGAGUUCAAAUCGGUGAAAGCCAGAUUGGUUUUUAUCUUUAAAAUAUUUUUUUUUAUUUGUACGAAAGGAUAGUAAAAUUUUAUUAAAUAAUUAAAUUUUGAAUUUGUUAAAAAUAUUUUAA